GGAUUUCAAAGGCAGCAGGAUGAAAGAUAUGUGUCUGUGUUCAUCAAGACAUGAAGACUCUGGAGUGGGACAAGAGAAGGAUGAUGGGGUGUUAUUCCAAUAGACACAUUAAGUCACAUUGUGAUUUCAGUGAAAGCUGAUAAAUACAGAGGGCUGGACAGUGGUUUCAUUCAUUAGGUAAAGACGUGGGACAAGGAUGCUGACAGGACAGGAGGAGGUGACAUUCAGACAUUCAACGCAGACACUUUCAUCCAAAGCAACUUGAGGAAGAAAACAGAAGCAGUUCAUCCUAAAAGUGGGCUGCUGUAAUGUUUACAUCUAUGGAAAGAGGAGCUGAGAAGAAAAGAGACGCUGGAAAGCAGUACUUCUUGUUGAGGACAAUCCUGAAUAGGAACCCUUUCUCAUACACAUAGAUUAUUAUUAGUGUUUGAUUGUUUGUUUCAUUUUUAUGAAUUGUAUUGUUUUAAUUUUUCGUUUUAUUUUAAAUUACCUAAGUUAGAUUCAUGCUUAUACUUUAACUGGACCUUGUAUCUUUGCUGGCUGGCUGGCUGUAGAGUUGGUUUCACAUACACAUGAAGUUUCUAAUUAACUAACUUUUAAGUUCAGUUUGGUUUAAACUUGUAUUUACCCAUGGUAAUUCAUUUAAAUUUCUAUUCAUACUUAUAUAUUAAUUUCAAUGAACUUCUGUAUUUGUGUAUAGCUGGCAAUUUGGGCAAGCAACGUUUCACACACCAAUGUAAC